UGGCGGACGGGUGAGGAGCGCGUAAGGACCUGCCCCUGGGAGGGGGAUAACAGCUGGAAACGGCUGCUAAUACCCCAUAGCCUGAGGAGGGAAAGGAGAGAUCCGCCCAGGGAGGGGCUUGCGUCUGAUUAGCUAGUUGGGGGGGGUAAUGGCCUCCCAAGGCAACGAUCAGUAGCUGGUCUGAGAGGAUGAUCAGCCACACUGGGACUGAGACACGGCCCAG
rnacentral:rRNA from 1 species